GACGAACGCUGGCGGCGUGCUUAACACAUGCAAGUCGAACGGAAAGGCCCUACUUUUGUGGGGGGCUCGAGUGGCGAACGGGGGAGUAACACGUGAGUAAUCUGCCCUUGACUUUGGGAUAACUUCAGGAAACUGGGGCUAGUACAGUGUAGGAGCUCCUGCUGCAUCGUGGAGGUAGGAAAGUUUCGGCGGUUGGGGAUGGACUCGCGGCAUAUCAGCGUGUGGGUGGGGAAGGGGCUUACCAAGGCGUUGGCGGGUAGCCGGCCUGAGAGGGGGACCGGCCACAUUGCGACUGAGAUACGGCCCAGACUCCUACGGGAGGCAGCGGGGGGGAAUAUUGCACAAUGGGCGGAAGCCUGAGGCAGCAACGCGGCGUGCGGGAUGACGGCCUUCGGGUUGUAAACCGCUUUCGCAUGUGACGAAGCGUGAGUGACGGUAAUGGGUAAAGAAGCACCGGCUAACUACGUG
rnacentral:rRNA from 1 species